GAUACUAAUUUUAAGGUAAGCAAGCUAUAUAGCUAGCACCUUGAUACGGAUCGAAGCCAGUUGAGAAAAAUAGUUUAUUAUCAGUCAUCUGCCAAAUAAUUUAAUUCUGGGGGACUGGCUGCCAAAUAAGUUUCUGGUGGCUGCCACAUAAAAUUAACUUGCAAUCGUUAUCUAGAUAUCUGGUGACCACUAUACUUAUCCAGCUGCUGCCACCAUUAUCUGAUAAUUAUAAUGGCUGUCAGAUAUUUAUAUGAUGGCUGUCAGAUAAUAAUUCUUAAGAGAAACGUGGAUUCAGUUGACAAGUGUAGACUCCAGUUUGUUCACAUCAUGUCAACCCUGGAGCAAUGGCAAGGCCACAUCAAGGUAACAUUAUAUUUACAUGAGAAAGUGCACUUGCUCAGGUCAUGCUGUGAUGAGGACCCAUUGUGGGUAAUUUCUUGAACAAUAUGCUAUUGUUGUUGCCUUAUAGAAUUGGCAACAUAUGUCAACACUUGGAAAGGUAGCCAGUGAGGGAAAUCUAAUGAGUGAAAAAGAUUGUCCUUGUGAAUAUUUCAAAGGUUUAUACCACACAAUCAGCUUGACGGAUAUAUGUGCAUCUGACAAGAAAGACAACUCUUACAGGGAAAACCAGGCACUACUGGAAGAAGAAAUUUUGAUGGACAAGACACAGUCGCAUCUGUGUACAUUUAGAAAAGGACAAAUCAGCCCUUUAUGUGGCCAUAAGUCUUUUCAACCGCAUUAAGACCAUGUCAGAUCUAUAAGCACAGUUAAACUUUGGUAUGUGGGAUUCAAGGGAACAGAUUAAACUUUUAGAUAUCCUGGGGUUCAACAUAGCGAGAGUUUGGCUUAAAAUUUGAUAAAUUUUAUCAUGUGUUGGUUUUAUGUUGGGAUAUAGCUCAACACAUUCUGAAUGUUUCUGUUUGUGAUGCAUUGUUGUUCGGUCAUUAAUUUUUGUUUUAUUCCUUAAGAUUUUUUUCAGAUUAUACAAUUAUACUAGUACAUGUAUAUUCCACUCACAGCUUUAUUCAUUUUUCACACUAUAUGACAGCUUUAUUCAUUUUUCACACUACCUGACACAUGUAAUUGUCAGCCAUUUCAACUUAUUAGUUGCAUUAUAAAUAUAAAAUCCAUUCCAUCUAUGUAAAAAUGAUGGAAACAUGAUACAUUCAAUAAAUUUUAUUUGCAAUGCACAAAUUUAAUAUGCAAGACAAAAUCUUUAUAAAAUAAGGUGCAAAAAAAACUACAUGCACUAUUGUCUGAGGACUGAUUUAAGUCACAAUAGAGUCACGCACCGAUUUACGUCACAAUAGAGUCGCGCACCGAUUUACGUCACAAUAGAGUCGCGCACCGAUUUACGUCACAAUAGAGUCGCGCACCGAUUUAUGUCACAAUAGAGUCAUGCACCGAUUUACGUCACAAUAGAGUCACACACCGAUUUACGUCACAAUAGAGUCACGCACCGAUUUAUGUCACAAUAGAGUCACGCACCGAUUUACGUCACAAUAGAGUCACGCACCGAUUUACGUCACAAUAGAGUCAUGCACCGAUUUACGUCACAAUAGAGUUACAAGAGAUCUCUUAUUGGGACACAUACAAGGACACUUUUUUCUCACUGGAAUGUGUUUUCAAUGUCUUUCACAAAAAAAGUUGUGAUGUAGGUUUGUUGCCAGAAAAUUGUUCUAUGUCUUUUACUGCAAUCCUGGCAAAUAAUUUUCUUUUUACACCAACAGCAAAUAAUUUAACUAUCCCCAAGAUUGGCUGCCAGAUCUUUUCUUAGAUUGCCUGAUUGAAAAAUCUCCACAAUCUUAUAUACUAGGUACACGGAAAUAUUUUUAUUUGCUAUAAGUUAUAGAAAAGGCUUCACUUUGAUAUUUUUGUUUUUUGCUUUGAUAUACUUAUCUGCACAAGCUAGUAUAUUAAACAUUGCAUUACUGGGUAAUUAUCUGCUUAAACGUACUGAAUCUUCAAAAUAAUUUACGUGUCAUACCCGAGUCUGCCUUGAUUUCAUACUUGCUAAACUUGUCUUCCAUAAUUAAAAUCAAAAUUGGCUGCAAAGUCAA